GGUUAAGCGACUAAGCGUACACGGUGGAUGCCCUGGCAGUCAGAGGCGAUGAAGGACGUGCUAAUCUGCGAUAAGCGCCGGUAAGGUGAUAUGAACCGUUAUAACCGGCGAUUUCCGAAUGGGGAAACCCAGUGUGAUUCGUCACACUAUCAUUAACUGAAUCCAUAGGUUAAUGAGGCGAACCGGGGGAACUGAAACAUCUAAGUACCCCGAGGAAAAGAAAUCAACCGAGAUUCCCCCAGUAGCGGCGAGCGAACGGGGAGGAGCCCAGAGCCUGAAUCAGCAUGUGUGUUAGUGGAAGCGUCUGGAAAGGCGCGCGAUACAGGGUGACAGCCCCGUACACAAAAGCGCAUGUGCUGUGAGCUCGAUGAGUAGGGCGGGACACGUGGUAUCCUGUCUGAAUAUGGGGGGACCAUCCUCCAAGGCUAAAUACUCCUGACUGACCGAUAGUGAACCAGUACCGUGAGGGAAAGGCGAAAAGAACCCCGGCGAGGGGAGUGAAAAAGAACCUGAAACCGUGUACGUACAAGCAGUGGGAGCACAGGUUUACCUGUGUGACUGCGUACCUUUUGUAUAAUGGGUCAGCGACUUAUAUUCUGUAGCAAGGUUAACCGUAUAGGGGAGCCGUAGGGAAACCGAGUCUUAACCGGGCGUUAAGUUGCAGGGUAUAGACCCGAAACCCGGUGAUCUAGCCAUGGGCAGGUUGAAGGUUGGGUAACACUAACUGGAGGACCGAACCGACUAAUGUUGAAAAAUUAAGCGGAUGACCUGUGGCUGGGGGUGAAAGGCCAAUCAAACCGGGAGAUAGCUGGUUCUCCCCGAAAGCUAUUUAGGUAGCGCCUCGUGAAUUCAUCUCCGGGGGUAGAGCACUGUUUCGGCUAGGGGGCCAUCCCGGCUUACCAACCCGAUGCAAACUGCGAAUACCGGAGAAUGUUAUCACGGGAGACACACGGCGGGUGCUAACGUCCGUCGUGAAGAGGGAAACAACCCAGACCGCCAGCUAAGGUCCCAAAGUCAUGGUUAAGUGGGAAACGAUGUGGGAAGGCCCAGACAGCCAGGAUGUUGGCUUAGAAGCAGCCAUCAUUUAAAGAAAGCGUAAUAGCUCACUGGUCGAGUCGGCCUGCGCGGAAGAUGUAACGGGGCUAAACCAUGCACCGAAGCUGCGGCAGCGAACGUAUCACUUAAAGCGAUUCAGCGGGUUACGAUUGACGGAGCGAAGCGACGUCAAAGCGUAUACAAAGUCGAGUCGGUUUAAGGAUACGUUCGUUGGGUAGGGGAGCGUUCUGUAAGCCUGUGAAGGUGGCCUGUGAGGGUUGCUGGAGGUAUCAGAAGUGCGAAUGCUGACAUAAGUAACGAUAAAGCGGGUGAAAGCCCGCUCGCCGGAGACCARGKSUKYC
rnacentral:rRNA from 1 species